AUUGAACGCUGGCGGCAGGCCUAACACAUGCAAGUCGAACGGUAACAGGAAGAAUCUUGCUUCUUUGCUGACGAGUGGCGGACGGGUGAGUAAUGUCUGGGAAACUGCCUGAUGGAGGGGGAUAACUACUGGAAACGGUAGCUAAUACCGCAUAACGUCGCAAGACCAAAGAGGGGGACCUUCGGGCCUCUUGCCAUCGGAUGUGCCCAGAUGGGAUUAGCUAGUAGGUGGGGUAACGGCUCACCUAGGCGACGAUCCCUAGCUGGUCUGAGAGGAUGACCAGCCACACUGGAACUGAGACACGGUCCAGACUCCUACGGGAGGCAGCAGUGGGGAAUAUUGCACAAUGGGCGCAAGCCUGAUGCAGCCAUGCCGCGUGUAUGAAGAAGGCCUUCGGGUUGUAAAGUACUUUCAGCGGGGAGGAAGGGAGUAAAGUUAAUACCUUUACUCAUUGACGUUACCCGCAGAAGAAGCACCGGCUAACUCCGUG
rnacentral:rRNA from 1 species